GAUGAACGCUGGCGGCGUGCCUAAUACAUGCAAGUCGAGCGAACGGACGAGAAGCUUGCUUCUCUGAUGUUAGCGGCGGACGGGUAAGUAACACGUGGAUAACCUACCUAUAAGACUGGGAUAACUUCGGGAAACCGGAGCUAAUACCGGAUAAUAUUUUGAGCCGCGUGGUUCAAAAGUGAAAGACGGUCUUGCUGUCACUUAUAGAUGGAUCCGCGCUGCAUUAGCUAGUUGGUAAGGUAACGGCUUACCAAGGCAACGAUGCAUAGCCGACCUGAGAGGGUGAUCGGCCACACUGGAACUGAGACACGGUCCAGACUCCUACGGGAGGCAGCAGUAGGGAAUCUUCCGCAAUGGGCGAAAGCCUGACGGAGCAACGCCGCGUGAGUGAUGAAGGUCUUCGGAUCGUAAAACUCUGUUAUUAGGGAAGAACAUAUGUGUAAGUAACUGUGCACAUCUUGACGGUACCUAAUCAGAAAGCCACGGCUAACUACGUG
rnacentral:rRNA from 1 species